AUUGAACGCUGGCGGCAGGCCUAACACAUGCAAGUCGAACGGUAACAGGAAGAAGCUUGCUUCUUUGCUGAUGAGUGGCGGACGGGUGAGUAAUGUCUGGGAAACUGCCUGAUGGAGGGGGAUAACUACUGGAAACGGUAGCUAAUACCGCAUAACGUCGCAAGACCAAAAAGGGGGACCUUCGGGCCUCUUGCCAUCGGAUGUGCCCAGAUGGGAUUAGCUAGUAGGUGGGGUAACGGCUCACCUAGGCGACGAUCCCUAGCUGGUCUGAGAGGAUGACCAGCCACACUGGAACUGAGACACGGUCCAGACUCCUACGGGAGGCAGCAGUGGGGAAUAUUGCACAAUGGGCGCAAGCCUGAUGCAGCCAUGCCGCGUGUAUGAAGAAGGCCUUCGGGUUGUAAAGUACUUUCAGCGGGGAGGAAGGGAGUAAAGUUAAUACCUUUGCUCAUUGACGUUACCCGCAGAAGAAGCACCGGCCAACUCCGUG
rnacentral:rRNA from 1 species